rnacentral:lncRNA from 1 species
UUUAGGAAAGAACAAAAAUAAUAAUCGAGCAAAGAAAUAUGACAACUAAUUUAGAACGAGGAAAAAUUUCUUGAAUAGCUUGUUUGGAUGACUAUUACGUAUUGUUUCAUAGCAUAUGAUGUCAUAUUAUAUUAUAUUAUAUUUACAGUAUUAUUUUGAUAAAUAUAUAACACUUGGAUGGAUUGUAAUUCCUCAUUUCAUAUUGGCAC